rnacentral:rRNA from 1 species
GACGAACGCUGGCGGCGUGCCCAACACAUGCAAGUCGAGCGGGGGUUUAAGUGUAGGUUCUUCGUUAUGGGGCUUUAAAUUCUAGCGGCGGACGGGUGAUUAACGCGUGAACAGUCUGUCCCGGACAGGGGGAUAACACUUGGAAACAGGUGCUAAUACCGCAUGAGACCACGGCCUCGCAUGGGGCCUAGGUAAAAGGAGCAAUCCGGUUCGGGGGGAGUUCGGGUCCGAUCAGCUAGUUGGUGAGGUACCGUCCCAGCAAGGCGAAGAUAGGUAGCCGGCCGGAGCGGGUGCACGGCCCCAUCGCCACCGAGAGACGGUAGAGACGACUACGGGAGGAAGCAGUGGAGAAUAUUGCGGCAAGGGCGAAUGUGUGAAGCAGGACCGCCGAGUGAGGGAAGAAGGUUUUCGGAGUGUAAACCUCUGUCCUAUGGGACGAAGGAAGUGACGGUACCAUAGGAGGAAGCCCCGGCUAACUACGUG